GACGUAGGGCGCGAGCGUUGUCCGGAUUUAUUGGGCGUAAAGAGCUCGUAGGCGGCUUGUCGCGUCGGCUGUGAAAACCCGCGGCUCAACUGUGGGCGGGCAGCUGAUACGGGCAGGCUGGAGUUCGGUAGGGGAGAACGGAAUUCCUGGUGUAGCGGUGAAAUGCGCAGAUAUCAGGAGGAACACCGGUGGCGAAGGCGGUUCUCUGGGCCUGUACUGACGCUGAGGAACGAAAGCGUGGGGAGCGAACAGG
rnacentral:rRNA from 1 species